rnacentral:rRNA from 1 species
AAUUUAUGACGGGUAUGCCUUAGCAAAAUUUAACUUAAAUUAUCUAGAAACAUCCUUUGAUUUAGUAAAGGUGAUUGAAAUUUUAUGUUUAUUUUAACCCUGAAAUAGUACCGUGAGGGAAAUACCUAGUUGCUAUUUAGUAGUGCUUGAUUCACGUACCUUUUGUAUCAUGGUUUAGCUAGAUUUAAACCUAAGUUGUAGAUAUCUCGAAGCCUAAUGAGCUACUUUCUGCUGCUGUAUUAGCAGAGAUUAAAAGUAACUGUGGCAAAAUUUUUUUUAAAGCAGAAAGUAGAAAUGAAAUUUUAUCCGUAUUAGGAGAUAGCUAGUUUUUUACAAAAAGCAUAGAAGUGCUGAGUUUCAUUAUUUAACUUUAAAUUUUACUAGAGUUAAAAUCUGAAGCCUUUAAAUUUUUGAGGAUAAGCUCAAAAAUAUUCGUGAUGAAUAAUAAUUAAGCUUUCUAAAAAUUUAAGCUUGAAAUCAGCUAUAAUUUGGAAGUUUGUUAUAAAUUAUUUAUAAUGAUAAAGGAAAAAUUUAUAUUAUAUUAAGAAAGUAAAAGCAUCUUAAAAACUAAAGUAAGAUUACUUAAUGCUAAAAUGAGUAUUUACAAUGACUAUAAACCUUUAGUUUUAGAAAAACUAAAGUUCUUUUAAUUUUAAUACCAUAAAAUUUUAGAAAGGAACUCGGCAAAAUAAAUUACUCUGCCUGUUUAUCAAAAACAUGGCUCUUUGAUUAUGAAAUAUAAAGAGUCGGACCUGCCCAGUGAUAAAAAUUUAACGGCCGCGGUACUCUGACCGUGCAAAGG